GGCGGAAGGCGGGCCUGUCCUCUCCCCCUCCGCUCCUCCCUCUCCCGGACUUGCCUCGGCUGCCCCGAGCCGGAGGACUGCUCAGCCUGAGUACCCUGGGAGCCCCUUGAGGGACUCCCCUAGGGGAGGACAACCGGUCACCCUGGAGGCUAAAGUGGCUUCUUCCGCCCAAGAUGGUGGCCCAGCAGCAGCUCAGUCCAAGCUGGUGAAGCAAACUCCUCUGUCCACUCUGGUCCUGUGUCCACAAGGAGCCAACUCCCUGAGGAAUUCAUGAGCAGCCCCACCAAUGUGCUUGCUGACAGGUACUCUGUGUCCUCCUGGCAUCCUGGGGCCCUGCUGCAGGAAGAGGCCCCUCUAAUGCCAAGGUCAUGACUCUAUAUCCUUCCUCUCCUGGAUAGAGGGACCCUGGCCAUGCUGGUCAGUGCAGGGGCAGGCACUGUACCCUCAUUUUUCCUCCUCAUCCAGAGCUCAGCCUUGAGCAGCCCAUCUUAGGCUCAGGGAAUCUCUGAUGAUACACCCUUUAAACAUCUGCUCCAGCUCAGUUGUGUAAAAGGAAAGAUUUUCAACAUAUGAUGUACAACUUUUCUUCAGUAAUUUUCCUGUUCUUCACUGUCACCCCAGAAGGGCUGGUCCCUGCACUGGUCAGCUCCACAUGGCAGUUGCUGCUCAGCGGCUUCAGGAGGCCACCUCAUAGUGCAGAGGGCAGGAAUCUGAUCUUCAAGUUCUUCAUCCAUGUAUAUUAUUUGAGCACUGACAUGGUCUCAAAAACCAAGUUACAAAUGGUGGACAUGAGUGAGAAGAUAGGCCUGCAGUAUGUGGCCAAUCUUGCUUCACCACUUGAAAAGGAAGGAGUUGAACCCUAUGGACUUGGUCUGGUAUUUUCCUCCUGUGAAGAAGUUUUCUUCCCAUUGGAGUGUAUGUUUCCUUCAACUCCUGAAGUUGGGAGGUCCAAGGACCUCCUGCCUCUCUCUACUGCUCAUUGUACAUGUGAGAGGCCAUGACUAUUAUUUUAUCACAGGCAAGUUUGGUGGCCAAUCAACCAACACUAGUCCUUAAAACAUUCUCUGCCUGUUUAAUGUAAGGUCUUACGUUGGGGUUAGAAGUUCUCAUUGAUCACCUCUGUGGCCAGACAGGACUCUUCUCUGACGGUAUGUCAGGAUGGAAGAGCACUUUGGAGUAUGGCAGAGGGCUGGUUUCUCCGUGCUGUCUGUAGAGUGACGGGUUAUUACAAUGCUUUGUUCCUGAGCCAAAAUGUUUUUUGCAUCAGUUACUCAUUUCCCCUCAAAACUCUCACUCUGUGGUAAGAAUUUGGUUAGAAUGAGCUAUUUAGUAUCAUGAGAAACAGGGCUUCAGGAAGUUCACUAGUCCAACUGAUACCUUUAAUUGGAGCUUCACUAGGUUUAUGACAUGGAGCUGCCAUUCUCUAUUAUGAAAGCAGAGUUGCUCAUGUCUGAAACUUCUGGUCAUGAUCCAAAUCAUUCUCUUCACAUUAAGGUGGGAGAAACAGAGUUAAGAGAAUAGGGCCAGGGCCGAGGAGCCCUAGAAACCAGCACUUGGUGGAGUCUGAAAGUCAACUCUGACUUCUAGUCCAGCUUGGAUGUUGUUGCGGGAAAACAGGGUACUUAGAGAUGCUUAGCAAUGAGAAACAAAGUCCUCUUCCACCCACUUGUCCUCUUUGGAAGCACAAAACAAAUAAAAAAUGAAACCCAAGCUGCACAGCCAGGUGCUGCUUCUCUUAUCCAAGGUGCAGGAGCUCCUGAUUUUCUGAAACAUGUCAACUCCCAGCUGACUUUUCUGCAUAUAUUUAAAUAAGUGGACACUUACAGAUACAUCUUGUUCUCUGUAACACAAAUAAUUUCCUUCACAGAUGAUGAAAUAUAAAAUUGUAAGUGCCAAAAUAUGGAAGUAGGAAAAUGGAAAGAUGAAGGACUUAUAUAGAAUGAGUCCAGGGAAGUUGAGCACUAAGAAACAGAGAAAAGUUUCCCCGCUGUGCCCGAAGAGCCACGAUCAGGACAAGGUGGAGUAUGAGUGUGGCUGAGUGCGAUGCACUAAGCUCCAGAACAGAAAUAGAAAAGAGUGAGCAGUGUGCAUUACCCUCCAAGGGGGAGCCAGGGGUGACUUUCAGAAGAGCUCAUCGCUUCAUAUGAGGAUCUCAAAUAGAAAACACAUAGGCCCUCAUAAAAUGUAAAUGUGGAAGAAAAGAUAUGAUUUAAGAUUGUCCAGUUUGUUUUAUUAAAUCAUAUCUUUAGGAUCUCAGCAAUGAGGGACAGGAAAUGUGUGCAGUAUCCACAUUCACAAACAUCACAUUAUCACUCUUUCAUAGUCAUUGAAUCCAUUGUUCCAGGAUGAUUUGAGGAAAACGCUAUAGUAGGAAAAAUAGAGGUAAAUCUCCAGGUGCUGGUGUCUUCCAAAAUUUUGGCAUGUACUUUUGUGUCUACAAGUUGUUUUGACAGAAUUCAGCUGAAAAGUUAUUGUACAUAGUCAAAACUAUUUUUUCCAACAAACACUGAUGUCUUUAUGGAACUGUUUCUAUAAGUGACAAAAAAAUCACUUAUACAAAUCAGUUGACAUUGAAAUAAUAUUUGUAAUAAAAUGAAAACCGCA